UUUGCCUCACUCCUAGGUUAUGAGAUUUUGUCAGUGGUGUCUUGUCUCUGGAUACUUGCUAGUUUGGGGGUCUUCUUAUGAAGGCUCUGAAGUCAUGAAUGAGCUGUGUCACCACAUUGGUGACGUUGCUUCUUUUUUCUUCAGUUUUUUUUUUUUUUCCUAACCCACUGAGGUUCUUUAAGACAAAGCUUUGACUCAUUGUCAGGACAUUCAUGGAACCCCAUUUCUUUAAGCGCCCCAGGCAACAAAACGAUGGUAUUUCUCCCUGUUGCUGUCUUACUCUUGUACUCAUCUCAAUUACUGCAUCUUCUUCUCUGGAUUCUGGACUUCUCAUAAAGUAAGCAUGGGAGUAGCAGAGAGCCCCUUAGGAAGUGUUCCCAAAGGACAACUGUGCUGCUGUUCUACCUUAUGGAAACUUGAAAAAAGUGUAAUGAGACCUCCCAAGAAGCAUAUCUGUGCAUGAGGGAAAUGAUUUUCUUUUUACUUUCUGAACAAUAAAUGUCUCUUCAGGCUAUGAUCACACCUUCUUUAUGAUGGGGUCUAGGUGUGUGUAGACCCCAGCAAAACCUGGUUACUGGGAAAAAGUAGACUAAUGCUUCCUGUUGAGUAUAAUUCUGCCAGAAUAAUAAGUAUCAGAACAUAUUGUGCUGGUUCAGUAUUUGCUUAUGUAAAACCCUUAGAACAGUAACUCACAGAUGUGGGCUUGUAAUUUUUAUUAUUUGUAAAUUAAUUAUCUUUGUUCAUUGUUUUGGUAUGCAUAUGUAUAAUAGCUGCUAAGGUUACAAUAACAAACUACCCCAAAGAAAGUGGUUUAAACAACAGAAUUUUGUUUUCUCGCAGUUCUGGUGGGAAGUCUGAGGUCAAGGUGUUAACAUGGUUGUUUUCCUCUGAGGCCAUUCUCAUUGGCUUGUACAUGGCCAUUUUAUCCCAGUGUCUUCACAUGUUUUUUUUUUUUUUUUUUUCUCUCUGUAUGUGCCUAUGUUCUAAUUGCCUCUUGUUAUGAGGACACUAGUCAUAUUGGCUUAGGGCCCACACUACUAAGUUUAUCUUAUAGUAGUUACUUCUUUAAAGAUCUUACAUCCAAACACAGUCACAUUGUUAAAUUCUGGGAGUUAAGAUGUCAAAAUAUAAAUUUGCAGUUCAUAAAAAUGUGUACUUUUACACGUUGAUGUGUAAGAAAUCUUGUAUUUGAGGAUGUUGAUGAUGUAAUGUUUGGUUAUACAAUGCAUAUACUUCUUAGGUUAAUACUAUGGAUUUGUUUUUCUGCCUUUAAAGAAUUGGCCCAUUUAGCAGAAGAUAUAAAUAGACAUUUUUCCAAAGAAUACAUCCAGAUGGCUAGCAGACACAUGAAAAUAUGCUCAAUAUGACUCAUCAUCAGGGAAAUACAAAUGAA